rnacentral:tRNA from 1 species
GGUGAGGUGGCCGAGCGGCUGAAGGCGCUCCCCUGCUAAGGGAGUAUACGGUCAAAAGCUGUAUCGAGGGUUCGAAUCCCUCCCUCACCG